rnacentral:rRNA from 1 species
AUGAACGCUGGCGGCGUGCCUAAUACAUGCAAGUCGAGCGAACAGACGAGGAGCUUGCUCCUCUGCCGUUAGCGGCGGACGGUUGAGUAACACGUGGAUAACCUACCUAUAAGACUGGGAUAACUCCGGGAAACCGGAGCUAAUACCGGAUAAUAUAUUGAACCGCAUGGUUGAAUAGUGAAAUACGGUUUUGCUGUCACUUAUAGAUGGAUCCGCGCCGCAUUAGCUAGUUGGUAAGGUAACGGCUUAUCAAGGCAACGAUGCGUAGCCGACCUGAGAGGGUGAUCGGCCACACUGGAACUGAGACACGGUCCAGACUCCUACGGGAGGCAGCAGUAGGGAAUCUUCCGCAAUGGGCGAAAGCCUGACGGAGCAACGCCGCGUGAGUGAUGAAGGUCUUCGGAUCGUAAAACUCUGUUAUUAGGGAAGAACAAAUGUGUAAGUAACUAUGCACGUCUUGACGGUACCUAAUCAGAAAGCCACGGCUAACUACGUG